CGGGCGCCAAAGUAUUAGUGGCGCCCGCCACAUUCACAUUGUGGAUGUCAGAGGUUCGAGUCCUCUAUCGCCCAU
rnacentral:tRNA from 1 species